GUUGCCGAAUGCACUUACGUAGGUAGGUGGAGACAAGUGGAGACAUUAGUGUUCAAUUUGCCGUCGGUAUAAUUUCUGCCAGGAGGAAUCGAAGACCGAGCUGUCACUGUCCAGAGCACUGCCACGAGUUUUAAGGAGCGACUCGCAUUCCUCAAGGAGAGAAACAUGGCAGACAGUUUGAUUAACGUGGGCAAACUCUUCCGACUGUUUCUGACAGGGCCUAUGAGUAGCGCCUCAUGUGAGAGAAACUGUUCUUGCCUUCGUCAGUUUAAAACAUACACGAGAAACACAGUGACACAAGAUAGACGCUCUGGCUUAGCGAAGCUCAACAUCGAGCGGGACAUCAACAUCGAUUUGGACAAAGUCAUCAACCAGUUCGACUUGUGCAGCAGUUCCAGUGGGCGGUGUUUAGCUCGUCACUAAAGCUGUGCCUGCCUACGUCCUGUUGAAGCCGUGUUCAGUGUGGGCCACAAAUGCCAGGGGUAUGUGGGGCUGCUGCCAUUCAGAGAGAAGGGAUUCAGAGCUAGCUUCAGCCCAUUUCAAAUGACUGACACCCACUGACUUGGGGGGCCAGACCAGUCCUCAUGGCAUUUUCCUCACAAGCAAUGAAUAGGCAAUAUCCAUACGGCUUUAUACACAGUAUGGUAUGGAAAGACAACGACACGUGAUAACCCCCGAAGAAAAGGAAUCUCAAUAAAUGUGACUCUAAGGAGGAGUAUAGGUGUUAAAAACAAAAAAAAAAGUUGUAAACUAA